rnacentral:rRNA from 1 species
AGAGUUUGAUCAUGGCUCAGGACUAACGCUGGCGGCGUGCCUAACACAUGCAAGUCGAACGAGGUAGCAAUACCUAGUGGCAGACGGGUGAGUAACACGUGGUCAACCUACCUCUAUGUGGGGGAUAACUAGCCGAAAGGUUAGCUAAUACCGCAUAUGAUCGCCGGGGGCAUCCCAGGCGAUGAAAGGAGCAAUUCGCA